rnacentral:rRNA from 1 species
GACGAACGCUGGCGGCGUGCUUAACACAUGCAAGUCGAACGGAAAGGCCCUGCUUUUGUGGGGUGCUCGAGUGGCGAACGGGUGAGUAACACGUGGGUAACCUGCCCUUGACUUGGGGAUAACUUCAGGAAACGGGGGCUAAUACCGGAUAGGAGCUCCUGCUGCAGGGUGGGGGUUGGAAAGUUUCGGCGGUUGGGGAUGGACUCGCGGCUUAUCAGCUUGUUGGUGGGGUAGUGGCUUACCAAGGCUUUGACGGGUAGCCGGCCUGAGAGGGUGACCGGCCACAUUGGGACUGAGAUACGGCCCAGACUCCUACGGGAGGCAGCAGUGGGGAAUAUUGCACAAUGGGCGGAAGCCUGAUGCAGCAACGCCGCGUGCGGGAUGACGGCCUUCGGGUUGUAAACCGCUUUCGCCUGUGACGAAGCGUGAGUGACGGUAAUGGGUAAAGAAGCACCGGCUAACUACGUG